GGGAUCGUGGGAAGAAGAUGGAGGUCGGUACCUGCAGGAGAAGAUGCCUGGAGACCCGAUCGUUGCUGGAGACUGCUGGAUCCUUGGUCAGAUUUUUAUCACUCAGGGUCCAGAUACAAAUAGAAGACUGGGACAAGCCCAGUACGAGGGAGUCAGUGCAGAGACUGGAGACCACUGCACAUGGCAGUUUUACAAUAUCCUGAUGGAUUAUUGGAACCAGGACAGGGUAUUCCUGGGUUGUAGCUUGCAGGAAGUGCAGUGGACAUUAUCAAACUCAAGUGCUGCUCCAGAAUUUUCUUUUUGCUCUCAGAACGAGCCAAAGUAGUGACGUCACUCACAAGCUCCAACUGCAUCCGAUCUCUUCAAGAGGUAGAGACGCCACCGGCCGAGGCUGACUCCCUCUAACCGCAUGCAAUAUCAACACAGCAGGAUCCGAACACGCAUUCAAGUGAACGUACGGAUAUUUUCUUCACCGGUCUCAAAAAUCAGUUUACCGGAUGAUCAGACCGGCGAGUCUGAUAGACAGGAUUUGUCAGUACCCUCCUAGUUAGAGAAGCAGUAAAUAGGUGAUCAAGCCGAAGGUUACAUCCAUAUCUACACUUUCAAUAAAUUAACACAUGUAAGCACAA